GGGGUCGACCGGAAUUGACAGGAUAGCGAUGGUUAUGUAAGCAUGCAGUGCGUUGGAAGUAUUGCACUAUAAUACAAACUUUCAAAACUAUAAUUGGCGAAGAAAACUACGCCUUAGCUGCUUAAUUUAGAAUUAAGAUAGCUUUUGUCUCGUCAAGCGCUGUUCUACCGCUUGAUAAUAGAGGCACCGAAUCGUAGAACUAGCCUGUGUGACGUCACUAAACAUGGGCGAAAUCCAGUGGCUAAGGAGAAAGGUAUAGGUUAGCGUCUCACCUUCCCUCUCCCUACAAUUAAAGAGAAGCUAAGCAUGUAGAAAGCAUAAAUCAUACUAUGUUUGGACGAGGGUUCGAAUCCCUCCGGCUCCACAA
rnacentral:tmRNA from 1 species